GGAGAGGUGCGAGAGUGGCUGAAUCGGGCGGUCUCGAAAACCGCUGUGGGGUUUCCACCCCACCGUGGGUUCGAAUCCCACCCUCUCCG
rnacentral:tRNA from 2 species